rnacentral:tRNA from 1 species
GGCGAGGUGGCCGAGUGGUUAUGGCGAUGGACCGAUAAUCCAUUGGGCUCUGCCCGCGUGGGUUCGCGUCCCACCCUCGUCG